rnacentral:rRNA from 1 species
UACAGAAGAAGCACCGGCUAACUCCGUGCCAGCAGCCGCGUAAUACGGAGGUGCGAGCGUUAAUCGGAAUUACUGGGCGUAAAGCGCAUGCAGGCGGCCUGUUAAGUCAGAUGUGAAAGCCCGGGGCUUAACCUCGGAAUUGCAUUUUGAAACUGGCAGGCUAGAGUCUUGUAGAGGGGGUAGAAUUUCAGGUGUAGCGGUGAAAUGCGUAGAGAUCUGAAGGAAUACCAGUGGCGAAGGCAGCCCCCUGGACAAAGACUGACGCUCAGACUGCGAAAGCGUGGGGAGCCAAACAGGAUUAGAUACCCCUGGUAG